UACGUAGGGUGCAAGCGUUGUCCGGAAUUAUUGGGCGUAAAGAGCUCGUAGGCGGUUUGUCGCGUCGGCUGUGAAACCCUGGGGCUCAACCCCGGGCCUGCAGCCGAUACGGGCAAGCUAGAAUUCGGUAGGGGAGACUGGAAUUCCUGGUGUAGCGGUGAAAUGCGCAGAUAUCAGGAAGAACACCGGUGGCGAAGGCGGUGGGCUGGGCCGGCACUGACGCUGAGGAGCGAAAGCGUGGGGAGCGAACAGG
rnacentral:rRNA from 1 species